CUUCCACCACCGUAUCCAAUAUCUAAGCCGAUUCUUAAUGUUGCAUGUGCGGCAAACAGAACAUUUGUACAUCCAACACCCCCACACACUCAGCAGAACACCAGUACUAAACCUAUUGAGAAUGCCUUGCAUACCCUCAACCAGAUGAUUGGGACAGUUCAGCCAAUGGCGCAGACACAGGGGUACAAGUCUCAGCAAGUGCUUUCUGUUGUUAAAGCUAACUCACAAGCACAAAACACUUUAAUCCAUGAAGUUGUUUCACAAUCAACGUCUCAAACUAUUGCUGCUCCAGGGAAGAGGCAAGCCACAAUACUUGCCAAAGACAAUUCUUUAACCAGUAAAAGAGUCCAACAGCUUGCUCUAAAUGGACUUGUAUGGAUGACCACUGCUACUACUGGACAAACUGUUCAGACUGAUGUCCACAAUAUCCAUUCUGCUAGGGUAAUGCAAACCUUUAAUCCAGUGGUAGCUUAUCAAAGACAAAAUGUUGGGCAUUCAUCUAAAAUGCUAAUUUCAGUGACAUCUGAAAAUGGAAGUGUACCUCAAAUCUUAAAAGACCAAGAACAUAUCAAUGUUUCUGAAUCCCAAGGAAGUUGUAGCUCAUCUCUUGGUGCAAUGGCAAAUAGUUUCGUGAAAUGUAAUGACCAGAUACAAAUUCAAGCAGCUUAUGGGAAGGUUGGUGCAGAUCAAGAUCAGUGCAGAGCACCUUCAGCUGUAGCCAGUGGCACAUCUGUUCAGCUUUGCCAGGGAAACUGGCCGACCCUUACAAAUUGUGUUUCUCGACCUAUCGUCACCAAUGGAACACAAGAAAGAGCUAGCUCUUCCCGUGGUGGUUUGCAGGUUUCUGAACGGACAGGUCCAUCAGUUUGUUUGAGUUCGCAACCCACUGUACAGCACACUACUACUAAUUCUUGGUUUUCACCAGCAAAUUCAAAUGGGCAAAAGAGAAUGGUGCUUGCACGGGUUACUCCAAUGUCUCAUGACUGGAAAAACUUGCAGCAAAAUCCACAUACUUUUCAAUGUACUGACACUUAUAACGUGAAGAACUUGCAUGUUGAAGACACUCAGUUACUUAAAUUAAGUGAUCAGAAUAGAGCAUUAGAAGAUGCCAAUUCAACUUUGGAAAAGCCAGUUGAAAAGAAAAGCCAAGCUACUCAGUCAUCCACUACAGAGAUAAAUGCACAGAGAAACACUCCCCUUGCACCAGCUAUACCUCCUCUCACUUUUAAGCCAAGUUUAUACAGGCAACAAAAUGUACACAAUAUUCACUUCCUUUACACGCCUUCAACUAUGAAUGAACAGAGCAUUAUAACUUCUCCGAUAUCUUCAGACGUAAAUGCCCAACACAAAGUAAUAUCCUCAGGAAAUCACAUUUCAACUGCUAAUGUAAGUUCACAGAAUACAAUUUCUGCGGCUUCACAGUUAUCCCCUUUGUCUGUUGGACAUUGUAACUUUGGAGUUUCAUCAAUAGACGGUUCAAAUUCAAUCAUCCAACAGACUGUGACUACAUCUGCAGUUGAAAUGGGGGCUUUGUAUAACAGCAGUGAUCAUCAGAAUAGCCUGUUACCUUCAAAUCCUCAUUCUAUGAAUGUGCUAUACUCGGCAAUCAAAUUAGCAUCUAAAGAUGUAGGUAAACAAACCAUUCAACUUGUUUCUUCAGGUUCUAGUUCUCCUGCAGCGUUCAGCAGUGACAACUCUGUACUCUCUCCUGUUCAACUUGUAUCCAGAGGAGACUAUGGGAAGCAGAAUACUCCAGGCCUUGUACUUGUGAUUCCACCUUCAGUGGUUAUGCAGAAUUGCCAGAAUAUGGAGGCUACUUCUGUUUGUAGCCCCUCUACAACAUUGACUCAAGAAAAGCAUAUGCCGGUAAGGCUUACCGAAUUCCAAGGUGAAACUUCUAAUUCAGUUGUGGAAGUGCUUUCUUCAGUGUCGGAGAAAUCUAAAGCGGCAUUGUCAUCAGCUGCUAGUCCAUCGAGCUGCACUGGGCAACAAUGUGAAAAAAUGUUGGGUAUCAGCUCAUCAACUGUAGGAGGAUUUAUUGAGCAGCAGACAAAUUGUGUGAAUGCACUGCUGGAACCCAAUCAGAAGACUUCAACUGGUGUGUUGUCGUCUUCCACUGAGUUAAAUGGGAAAAAAAGGAACCUAAUUUUGGAUGCAGGAAUAUUGUCUAAAGACUCCAGUAUCCAACAUGAUCUGACACCUUGUGAUAGUCAGAAAAAUGUGACUGAUAGUCCGCCUCAAAAAAGGUUUAUAACUUCCGUGGAAGAUGCUUUAAAGGAUGUAAGUGGUUGUAAAAGUGCACCUUUACCUGUUAAUAAGAAAACGGCAAACUCUUCAGAACUGAUAACAUGCAGAGAAAGCUCUGCUAAAAAUGAGGCUACAAUUGCUGAUCAAACUGUUAGAGAUGAUACAUUUCAACCUGGGAUUUGUAUCACUGGUGUGUUUUCACUUGGAGACAAUACUGGAUUGUGGAGGUCUGUUCAACGGAACUCGCCUUGCCCUUUGGUUGAUCUAACUAGCUCCUCAACAGAGGAAGUGAGUGAUUCAUCUUCAAUAAAAGAAUCAACAACUGAAAAAUCUAGUUUGAAAGACAAAGAAAGUCACAAAAAUUGUGACACGCUUGUUGUGAAGGAAAAUCCACAAUUGAUAUCGGUGCUUCCACCUAAUUUAGAAAGCAGACAAUGCUCUUCCGUAAAAGAAUCUGCUAAAAUGGAAAAUACGCAAUCCAUAUUGGGAAGUUCACUGGAAAAAAAUAAUAGUCAACUGACCUCUGAUUCUAAUGAAGUUGGAGCUAACAUUUUAAUAGAUCUAACUGGAGGCAAAGGCAAUUUUACUGAACCUCCGCUGACUGAUUCAGUGUUACCAUUUGAUUUGAAAGAGCAGGACGCAAAAUUAGUUUCUGACCAGAGUAUCUUGACUGUUGAAAUUAAUAACCCAUCUCCUUUAAAGUUUUUAGAUCAGGAAACUCAGGAUCUUGAUGAUUUGUUGCAUUCAAUUGACACAGAAAUUGAAACUUUACUAAAUUUCUGGAAUCCUUAUCCUCCCACAAUUGCAUAUGGCAACACUCAGAAGUUGGCUUGCAAACACUAUAGUCUACAAGGAGAAACUUGUGAUUGUAAAUUACCAAACAUUGAAGAAGCACAAAUGCCAGAUGAAGGUGAUAAAGCUGGCCUGCAUGAGGAUUCAGAUUGUAACGAGUCUUACAACAUAAAGUAAUGAAAAGGAAACCUGAUGCUUCUAAUUGUUGGAGUCCACAGAAACAAAGGAAAAGUGAUACUCAGGGAAAGAAAACAAAAUUUGCCAAGAACCCUAGUCUGCAGAAGAGCAACCAUAGUCCACAGAAGAAAGCAAGAUAUGAUGUUGCGGGCAGAUGAAAUUUCUAACUCCAUCACUGCAGUGGAUUACUCUGAUCAUCCAGG